rnacentral:rRNA from 1 species
CUACGUAGGGGGCGAGCGUUGUCCGGAAUUACUGGGCGUAAAGAGCACGUAGGCGGCUAUAAAAGUCAGGCGUGAAAAACCUGGGCUCAACCGAGGGUAUGCAUCUGAAACUAAAUAGCUUGAGUCAAGGAGAGGAGAGCGGAAUUCCUGGUGUAGCGGUGAAAUGCGUAGAGAUCAGGAAGAAUACCAGUGGCGAAAGCGGCUCUCUGGACUUGAACUGACGCUGAGGUACGAAAGCGUGGGGAGCAAACAGGAUUAGAUACCUUGGUAGUCCACGCCGUAAACGAUGGAUACUAGGUGUGGGUUAGUAUAAUCCGUGCCGGAGUUAACGCAAUAAGUAUCCCGCCUGGGGAGUACGGCCGCAAGGUUGAA